CAACCGAGAACUGACUCAAGAUGCCGAAUUGGUGACAAUUAUAGAGUCUGUAACUGCAGACUAAAAGAUAAGGGGAGGGGCUUGUUUUAUCCGGGUAAACAGCCCAGGCUCGGAUGGACCUUGAUGUAAAGAAAAUCCGCAGUUCAUGUAUUUUCAACUUCAAAGAGUAAAUGCAGAUGGAUAGGAAAAAACACCACACAAUACCGGAAAUUACCGAAUAGCAUGCACGGUUGCAGAUAACCCAUGAGUAUGCAUGAGGACUGUCUGGCAAAAUCUUGGUUCUAUUUUUUACAGAAGAGACAGAAAUAUCUGAACGCCAUUACCAAGAAGUACAACUCCCUAGCUGAGAGAUGGAGAAGGGACACAAAGUACGUCGUUGGUUUGUUCUACUGUGUGCUCACCUGAGCAUGGUCAUCUUCGCAGGAACCUACCGUUCUCUUGGAGUAUUGCUAGUGGAAUGGAAGGAGUAUUUCAACACUUCCUCGACCGAAAUCAGUGCGAUCAUUACCGUGUUAGCAGCAUCAGGACUUCUCUCUGGGAUUCCAUCUGGCAUUGUGAUUACCAGGUAUGGGUGUCAUUACGGCAGUCUUCUCGGAGCCAUUGCCUUCGUCAGCGGAACAGUCGCAAGUGUUUUUGCCCCCAAUCCUCUUGUUCUCUGCUUCACGAUGGGUUUCAUA